AUUGAGGUCUCUCCCAAUGGGGCUUUUUCAAUUAGCCUACAUUGUUGGAAACACCUCACAGAGUAAAUAUGUGGAUUUUUUAUUUAUUCACAGAAUUAUGUGAGUCAAUUAUGUGUUACAUCUGUGGGAAAUAACUAUAAGACAGAG
rnacentral:snoRNA from 1 species